UACCAGCUCUCCGAGUGGUAGGGAUGUUUAUUGGGCUUAAAGCGUCCGUAGCCGGCUUAGCAAGUCUCCUGUUAAAUUCAGCGACCUAAUCGUUGAGCCGCGGGAGACACUAUUAGGCUAGGAGGCGGGAGAGGUCAACGGUACUUCCGGGGUAGGGGUGAAAUCCUAUAAUCCCGGGAGGACCACCAGUGGCGAAGGCUGUUGACUAGAACGCGCUCGACGGUGAGGGACGAAAGCUGGGGGAGCGAACCGGAUUAGAUACCCGGGUAGUCCCAGCUGUAAACGAUGCGAGCUAGGUGUUGGGGUGGCUACGUGCCACUUCAGUGCCGCAGGGAAGCCAUUAAGCUCGCCGCCUGGGGAGUACGGCCGCAAGGCUGAAACUUAAAGGAAUUGGCGGGGGAGCACCACAAGGCGUGAAGCUUGCGGUUC
rnacentral:rRNA from 1 species